rnacentral:lncRNA from 1 species
GCUCCUGGAACCACAAUUCUCGGUUCUCAUACGAUGAUGUUGGGGUGCCCUUCCUUCCGUAUUACAUUUUUUCUCGUGAUCCAGCUAAUUCUUAUCAGCAUGAGCAGCCUCAUUGCCCCAGCAGCCUCGAGACCCGCUGGAUGUAAGUGCUAAACUAAAUAUUUGUUUUUACUAUAAUUUUUACAGAAGUAUGUAUUGUAACCUUGGACGACAAGCUGAUCCAAGGUUAUGGAUUUUGAUCUCCGAGUUUUUACAUGCAUUUGAUCAAGAGCAGAGACAGAGAUAAUAGAUUGAUGGUUUGUUUGAAUCACCCUAGGUUUGAAAUCUGUCCAUGACAUGUCUCUACUUUCAUAAUUAAGCACCUCUCUUACACUUUCACCUCUCCGGGCUCUCUAUAUAGAAUAAUAUCAACCAAUGCUAUGUUUGGGUGAGGCUUUUAAGGUGUCACAAAUCUGUUUAUACCACUAAAAGGUAGGACUAACCCAUCAACAUUUAGCAACAUGGGUUGAAACUAGAAAACUAGUGAGGCUCCUUUUAGGGCUAAUGCCCUCAAGUACUUACCCCAAAUAACGGCACAUAAAGUACCGAGGAUCUCUCGGUGUAAUAGUGAUCAUGCCUUAUCACCUCACAAUAGUAAUGUUAAUUUUCCUCCGUUGUUCCAAACCUCAUGUUAAAGUUUAGGUCUUUCUUUCCUUUCUUGAACUAACAUGCAAGUUGCAAAAAUGAAAAAAAACAUUUGUUUAUGGAACAAAUUUAUGUUUUAUUUUGUAUCAUGUAAAUAAAUUGAGACAAAGUCUGAAGUAUUGUAAAGAGUGUAUAUAUAGAUGACAUAUUUUCCUUUUGGAUCUUGGUGCAGGCAGUUGGGGCCCCUUUUUAACUACAUGCCCAAGAGACCCUCCAGUAACGAGCUGCCCUCGGCCGCCCUGUCGACAUGGCUGAUCCAUGAAUAUAUGAAUUUAUACAGGUGUCAUUGAUAAUCGCGUCAAUAGAUUCGAUGUUUUCCAAAUUUCAUGUUAUACGGGUUGUUGUCUUGUCUCAAAUUAAAUAUGUACGUUACGUACAAUCCUAUAUCACUUCUUGCGUUGAUGUAUAUAUCAAUAAAUCAUUUUUUAGAGACGUAUCAAUAUUUGAUCACUUCAUAUACGUAAAAUCUAUCUCCACUUUCAAAUUAAUAUAUGUGAACUCUACUCUUAAUAUUAUUAUCUAAUACUCAGAGGCUUAUAUCUAUACUCACAUAUAUAAAAUCUAUCUUAUAUGUAAUAUCUUUUUAAGGUACUUUUCAGACCGUGUAACCAAAUGGUACAUUUAAAAUAUCAUAGGCCUGUAACUAUGCGUGAGGAGGAAAUUCACGCUCAAAGUAUGAGCUCAAGAGAACCCUCCAGCAGUACGUUGUUAAGGUGAACUGGUCUUCCAUCUUGGUGCUUUUGUUCUUGUUGACUUUAGAUCCGGGACUAAAGUGCUUUUAGUCCCGGUUCAAAAAUAACCCACCGAAGGCCACCGAGGGGUGGGACUUUAGUCCCGGUUGUAACGGCUAAAAAAUCUAGCAUCGACACCCCCUGUCCCGGUUGGAAAUUCCAACCGGGACAAAAGGCCCUCCCCC